CCCUAAAUGAAACAGCCAACCUGCCCGCCCGCGAUUAUAUAAAGGAGUCGCCUCCGCCCGCUGCGCCAGGGGCGUAGCGGGGGAAGGGGUUGGCGAGGGGCGGGCUGGGCUGUUGUUUUCCUGGCUUUCCAAGUUCCCCUACCCAACUGCGGGCCACUGGGCGGGACAGGGACCCGGCUGCGGACGCCUGGGUCCUGCGGUCCGCUCCCGCAAGGGUCUUCGUGGCUCAGGAGGGGCGGAGGUGGGGAGCGGGGAGGCGUUGCCUCAGCCCAACUUUUUUUCCCUGUCCAUUUCUCCCACUUCCUCCCCGGUCGUGGGAGAGGUCCGGCGGGGGACGGGAGAGCGGGAGGAGGGGACGAGUGGUGAGAACAGCCUGACCCGGCCCGGCCAGCUGCCCGCUGCACACAGUAGGCGCCCGGGGAGGGCCGGCUAGUGCGAUCAGCCGCUUGAGGGUCUCUGAGCCUCAGUUUCCCCUUCCUUAUUCCCUUGGUCGGAAAGGCUGGCACCUGCUUCAUAGUUGUCGUUUACUGCGCACUUCUAGAGUGGCUGGCUCUGUCCGGGGUCCUGUUUACCUCCAUUCUAACAUCUAAUGCCAUUAUCAUGAUCAUUCUUUAUUAUCAUUAUCAUUUUUACCACCAUUACCUUACAGGCAGGAAACUUCCACUGCCUUGGGUGAAAUGCACCCAGUCUGUCCUUCUCUGACUUCAAAGCUUACUUCCCCCCCACCCCCCAAACUCCUGCCCUUUAUUGCCUCUUCACACAUGUAUUAAAAGUGCCUUUCAACUCCCAACGGGUUGAAUUGGCUUUUGUAAUAAUAAUUGGCUUCAAGGGGAAACCCGGGAGGCCCCCAGAAGGGAAGUGACAGCCCCAGGACUUGCAGCCUGAAACCAGCCCCGGGAAAUUGAGGCCCAGAGAGGGACCGUGUGCAAGGAUGUCAACUCUAGCUUCCUCUGGCUCUGGACCCUGCCAGAGGGGCUGCAGAUGGAUCCUUCAGGAAACUCAGGAAUGACAUAUCCCUCCUUCAUGGCCACUCCUGCCCCUGCAGUGAAAAGAGAGGGAGAGGGGCAAAGCUUUGUCCUGACCCUCACUCUUUAGUCCCUACCCUCUCCUCACCCCUCAGAAGAUACCCAAAUAGAUACUAUUUUAAAACCUAAUAAAGCAUAUAAAUUUGA